UUUAGCUUUCUUGCAUCAGCAUAUCACCCGCCAGUUUUCUGUUUUUCAUAAUUUGCACAUUUGCGUCUCCUCCGUUGUUCGUGUUCCGCUGGCGCUUUCAAUGUACAUUUGUACAAGUGAAUGUGUUUUUCGGGUGUUUGAUAGUGUUUAAAGUAAUGAUUAAUUUUAAUAAUGAUCUAUUUUUGACGCUUCGACUGCAAUAACUUUGCUGAAGAUAAACCAACGACCGACGAGUGUGAGAAAUCUGAGUCAAGAUUAGUCAAGACGUAUUUCACAUCCGCAAACCUCAAGUCACAUGGUUCUUAAUUCUCAGCUCAGCUUCAAGGUGAGCACAAUUUCCUUCCAAAAAUGAUGGAAUAAAGAAACUCGCGUACGAGAAUGAGUAAGUGAUUUUAUAAUUAUUAUGAGAAAUGUUACGUAGGUCACUUCUACACCUGCGAAUUUUUUAUUUUUAAUGGCAACACCCCCCCCCCCUCCCACCAAUUAUAAAAUCAUGGAAUUCGAAAAUCAGUCGAGCUACAUAAUUGUCUAUCUGGGUUGAAUUGUGCCGAUCUUAUCUUCCGAACACGAAUUUGGAAACGAUACUUAGCAUUCUUACAAAAUAUUUUCAAUAAUCGAGAGUUCCUUGUCUCCUGCUAGUAUGUUUACAUGUCAUUUCCGAAAUUGCUCCAUGGUAUUUUAUAAAGAAUGCUAGUGUGUGGGUGUAUUUUUUUAUAACGAGCAAAUUACUCUAGUAUUUUUGCUACGUUUUAUACGAAGGCAAAAAAACACAUAUUUUUAGGCAUUAGUAUAAGAAAUUGAAGACAUCGAGUCAUUACUGGUUCCUUUUAAAGCAAAUUUAUUAUUUUCAUAUUUUUCAUUUUAUCGAAUAAGUAAGUAAGCUGAUCACCCCCGCAUAUUCGCCGCCAAUACUUUUUUAUAACUUGUUACACCCAAGUAGGGUUUUCCUCAAGCGGAUAUGCAAAUGUUACGAUCUCAAUAAGAAGGUGUUGAACGUCACCUGUUCGCACUUGCAUUUCAACUGCGGUAUCGAUGUUUGAAAAAUGUUUGCAUUUUCAAACCCCCAGAUGGUUUUUUUUGGCCAAAAAUAAAAGCAGUCGACUCCAAAAAACAAACGAUGUCAAUGGACUUGCAAAAAUCACAAUCAUUCAAUGUUAAUGACAAUGAUACAACAGCAAUAAGAAGGCAAUGGUCUUGAAUUUGUUGAUGGUAAUGAAAAAUAAAUACAAAGACACGACCAUAUUUACGUCACUCUUGUUACAAAACAUAACAAAUGUAGGUAUUAGGUAAAUACGUUCAGACUAAAACGAAAUUGAACCUAUUUUUUUUUUCUCAUUCAUCGUUGAAUUCGACAGUCGAGAUUAUCAUGUACAAGUGAUAGGUACUGAUACACUUUUGCUUUCCUGAACUCUCGUAAGGAAAGAAAAUAUGCAGUGUAACCUACACACGACAUACACGCUGUAUUUCAAUUUCAAUCUAUUAUGCCUACAAUCGCAGUCACCUCAACUGGCUGUAUUAAAAAAAACAAUCUCUUCACUCUCGGUUCAGCUCGCGAGUUGGAUUUAUUUAAAUCGCAAAUAUAUACGUACAGGUAUAAAUAGUAGGUCAUAGAGAUCGUUAAUGAGAAUUGAAACUGCGUAAAAAUUACACGCUAUGGCGGUCAACUACCACCUACAGAUUUUUCAAACUCUUGAACAAAUACUACUCGUACCUGUGUACGUUAUUGUGUGCUGUUGCACUAUAAUUUUCAAAACGCUAUUAUAAGCAACUCGAUCGAGCGAAUCCAAAUUUCCUUAUACAGAUACGUCGCAAUAUCUUUGAUCCGAUUGCGAUGACCGAAUCUCGAAUGGCGUUCAAAUCAGCUCGAAUCAUGUAAAAAUAGUCCAAAAACAGAUCACACGCCAAAUUUCACCCAUAUUUGGUUUAUGUAUUUGAUAACAUUUCUAUUUUUUUUCCAAGUUCGACCAGAGUUUGAUUUUUCAAAAAUACAUUCGAAAUCAAAAUCGUUCGUCAGCUCAAAAAUUUGAUCUACUUAUACGACUUUUGAUUUUAUCAUCGUUCUUCCAUAUUGCUUCAAAAAAUUGAAAAAAUGUCGGUAGAAGUGACUUUAAAAUUUCAAAACAUUGAAAAAAUGGUGUAAAAUUGUACUUUUAAAUUCCCAAUAAUCCCCCCCCCCCAAAAAAAAAAAAAGUUUGCAGAAAAUUGUUAGAUACGUACUGGAAAAUUGUUUUGCAAAGAUGCAGAAUUUAAUAAACUAUGUAUUAAUACGUUUGGGGGGGGGUCCUUAUUUUCAUAGUUGGUAUUUUCUUCCCUCCCAACCUCCCAAAGUGACGACUUCUGGUGAGGAAAUAAUUCUCUAUUUUUUCAUUUUUUCCAUUUUCGAAAAACUUGUGCUGUGAUGGGCCCCUCAAUUUUCAAAAAUUAUAUAAAAUACAAAUUCGCUGUAAAAUUUUGAAAUUUCAACUUUUAUCAUCUCUUAGAAGUCUAUUUUGAGUAAAAUGAAACUGUCAUGACGAUUUUAGUCCCCUCCAUUGAAAACCAACCUGACCCCCUAAAACAGCUGUAAUUUAAUGUAUAAAAUACGAAUUUCAGCAAUUCUAGGGGACCGAUUUGGUUUUCUAGGGAUGGAGGUAAUAUCCUGAUGAGAGUUCAUUUUACUCGAAAGAGACUUUUUAAAGGUGUUGGAAAAUUUGAAAUUUUUGAAUUGAAAAAUUUUGCUUUGAAGUUGAAUUUUUAAAACUGUUUGAAAAUUGAGAAGCCCACCGUGCAGCCCGAGUUUUUAAAUAAUGGAAAAAAUGAAAAUUAGGGAAUCAAUUUCUCACCACUUUGAGGGUUGAGUGCAGAAAGUAAAACAGAACCCGACACUUUCACCGUACACAAUUACACAUAUUUAAAAAAAAAAAAAUUAAAAUUGCUACAAACAAAAUGAAUAGUAAAUGAACAAAAGUUAUUGAAAAAAAAAAAAACAAAUAAGAUAACAAUAAACAAUACUGACCAUCUUCUCGACAAUAUGUUUCGAAACUUUCCAAUAACGGAACAGUUUUCUGAGAGAGCAUUUUGGUAAAUCCUCGGGUGCUUUUUAUUUUGAGUACAGAUAAAAUAUCACCAACACAACUGCAGUUUUCAAAGUUACGAAAAUGAAAAAAAUCACCGUGUCACAAACCGAACCCGAUGGUGUGAUUAUUUUGUAAACAUCUUACAAAUAUCGAAGAACGUUGUCAAAUGAUAGGUAAAUAAUGAAAACAUAAGACAUAGUAACCCUAACCUUGAUGAAGGAAGGUUGGCCUACGAACAACACGGUAUGAGUUUCAUAUCUGCCCCCGCAAAUUUUGCUGGAUUGAAAAUCGCGCGAUAGUUUAGCGUCAUUAUAGCGUGAAGGCAUGGGCUGGUUUCUGGCUCUGUGAUAAUGACGUCAUUAUAUCGCGAGUUCGCCGGUAAGAUGCCCUCGUGGCCUAGUGCUCGAUGCGAUGGAUCAUGGAUCGUGAUGAGAUGCAAAAACUUCGAUAAUCUGCAACUGAAUCUUUCGUUCAGAUUUGCGAGAAUCAGACUGGAUUUUGGUUAGUCAAUUUUUCGAAUUUUGUACCGAGCAUUUGUGUAGGGUAAAGUUGAGAUUUUUCACCAAAUUUCGGAUCGAUUGUAAUCGAUAGACGUUUGUUUGGUUCGUUUACAUUCUUCCGAUAUUUAUAUUUAUAAUUCAUUUUUAAAAAUUGAGAAAAGAAUAAUCAGCGCUGAUAUUCACAUUUUGUAAUAUUAUAAAAAAAACACCUCACUUGAGUCAAACUUGACCGAAAAAAUCUACGUAUUUUUGAAGGCAAUACGCAGUAAGUUAACGACAUCGACAAUCUUGGGGCUCUCACUCUAUUUCUGUUUCUCCCCAUACAUCCGAGUCUUCAAAGACGAAUUCUUAUAUUCGUAUAAACUUACGAGAAAGAGUAACUAACUAACUCACCAUAAUAUAGCUAAACGAAACAAAGGAGAAAAAAAAAUCGUUUUCAAAGGUGCGAAAGAUUUAUUUUUAAAACAAUCGCGUAGUUGUAUGUAGGAAGAGGCAUCAGCCGAUGAAACUUUUUCUCCAGCUUUGUCAUUAAUCUUGCUGCUACGUCAGAGUAAAAAAAGAAAUCAUUUUUUUCUCUCACCGCAUACACUUAGUUAACAACAAAACGACACGCGAGAAGAAAAAGAGAAGAGUUGGGGAGGAAAAUAAACCACAAUGAAUAAUCAUUUCACUCUAUCGACAAGUUGCGCUGGCUUGGAGUUCAUUUUUUAGCCUUUUAAUAAUUAAUAAGUCGAGCAUGUGUGUAUUUUCAGAUCUCGAGAUGAAAAUGUUACUUACCAAUUUAAAAUUCGAGUUCGGUUUUUGACCUCUGUGAUUCGAAGAGUAGAAGCGAUGAUGAAGGGAUGACAUUUUGUGAAGAAAAUAUCCCUUAUCAAUAUUAUCAUACCGGGUGACCAAGAAUAAUGGGUUUUGUAAUGUUCUGAUAUGCCAAAAAGGGAAAAAAAUUUCCCUGAUUAAAAACUGGAAAAUGAAAUAACAAUCGAGAAAAAGUGCUUUCGAAUUAUUGUUUCGAUGCAAAAUGAAAGAUUAUUUCGUAUUUCAUUGGAACAAUCACUCAAACGCCAUUUUUUACAUGAUUAUUUAAUUUUCUAAUUUUCAUAACGGGAAUUUUCUCUCCUUUUUGAUAACAUCGAAAUCCCAUUAUUCUUGGUCACCCGGUACGAUUUUUUCAUCGCUCAUAAAUUUGAUGAUUGGUGUAAUUGGAGGAGGACGAGGAUGAGGUUGCAAUUCGUAAUUGGAAAUUGGUCGAAAUCGACUCAGGUGUCUCGUGAUUUGAUCAAGUCACGUAAAGAAAGUUGCCCGAGCAUAUGUAUUUUGUCUAGAUAUCACUUUUCCGAUUUUUUGCCCCCCCCCCUACGUCCGCAGAUGUCCUGGGUUAAUAUUUUUUUUUCAUAUAUAGUCGUGUGACCUAUCGAAUUGGGCUAAAAUUUCACGAUUAAGUCAAUAACUAUGGUAGUUUCAUCUUUCAUCCCCCCCUCCGUCGACUGUUUCAAUUCGACGAAACUUGGUUUCAUGAUUUUUUUGUUGGAAAUUUAUUCAUGAGACCCAUCGUUGUGAGCAAAGAGUAGAAGCGUUGAAAGGUAUGACUUUGUGUAAUAUAAAAUAUCCCAUGUCAUACUAUUGUUUCAUUGCUCAUAUUUGAUGAUUGGUAAUUGUGGGUGAGGGGGCGGGGAUGAGGUUGCAAUUCGUAAUCGGAAAUUGGUCGAAAUUGACUAACGUGUCUCGUAAUUUGAUUAAGAUAUAUAAAUGAAGUUGCUCGAGCAUGUAUUUUCCCUCGAUAUCCUUUUUUCCGAUUUUUUUGCAAUUCCCCCCCCCCCCUCUUCCUUUCGCAGACUUCCUGGCUUGACAAUUUUUUUUUCAAUAUAGUCGUGUGACCUAUCGAAUUAGGCUGAAAUUUCACGAUGAGGUCAAUAACACUGGUAGUUUCAUUUUUCACCGCCCUCCCCUCCGUCGACGGUUUCAAUUCGACAAACCUUGGUUUCAUGAUUUUUUGUUGGAAAUUUAUUCAUGAGACCCAUCGAUGUGAGCGAAGAGUAAAAGCGUUGAAAGUAUGACAUUGUGUAAAAUAAAAUAUCCCAUGUCAUACGAUUGUUUCAUUGUUCAUAUUAUUUUUGAUGAUUGGUAAUUGUGGGGGGAGGGGAUGAGGUUGCAAUUCGUAAUCGGAAAUUGGUCGAAAUCGACUCACGUGUCUCGUAAUUUGAUUAAGAUAUGUAAAUGAAGCUGUCCGAGCAUGUAUUUUCCCUCGAUAUCACAUUUUUCCAAUUUUUUUCAACCCCCCCCCCCUCGGUCCACAGACUUCCUGGCUUGACAAUUUUUUUUUUCAAAUAUAGUCGUGUGACCUAUCGAAUUGGGCUGAAAUUUCACGAUGAGGUUGAUAACGUUGGUAGUUUCAUUUUUCACCCCCCCCCCUCCCGUCGACAGUUUCAAUUCGACGAAACUUGGUUUCAUGUUUUUUUUGUUGGAAAUUUAUUUAUGAGACCCAUCGUUGUGAGCAAAAAGUAGAAGCGUUGAAGGUAUGACAUUGUGUGAAAUAAAAUAUCCCAUGCCAUACGAAUUACGAUUGUUUCAUUGCUCAUGUUUGUUGAUUGGUAAUUGUGGAGGGGGAGGAGGUUGUAAUUCGUAAUCUGAAAUUGGUCGAAAUCGACUCACGUGUUUUGUAAUUUGAUUAAAAUAUAUAAAUGAAGUUGCCCGAGCAUGUAUUUUCCCACGAUAUCAUUUUUUUCCGAGUUUUUUUCAUUCCCCCCCCCCCUCCUCCGUCCACAGACUUCCUGGCUUGACAAUUUUUUUUUUUUCAAAUAUAGUCGUGUGACCUAUCGAAUUGGGCUGAAAUUUCUCGAUGAGGUCAAUAACAAUGGUAGUUUCAUUUUUCACCCCCUCCCCUACGUCGACGGUUUCAAUUCGACGAAACUUAACUUGGUUUCAUGAUUUUUUUUUUGUUGGAAAUUUAUUCAUGAAACCCAUCGUUUUGAGCAAAGAGUAGAAGCGUUGAAAGGUAUGACUUUGUGUGAAAUAAAAUAUCCCAUGUCAUACGAUUGUUUCAUUGCUCAUGUUUGUGGAUUGGUAAUUGUGGGGGGGUGGGGCAGAGGAGGUUGCAAUAUUCGUAAUCUGAAAUUGGUCGAAAUCGACUCAGGUGUCUCGUAAUUUGAUUAAGAUAUGUAUAUUGUAUAUAAAUGAAGUUGCCCGAGUAUGUAUUUUCCCUCGAUAUCACUUUUUCCCGAUUUUUUAAAAAUUCUCUCCCCCCCCCCUCCGUCGCGUGACUUUUUGGCUUAGCAAUUUUUUUUCAAAUAUAGUCGUGUGACCUAUCGAAUUGAGCUGAAAUUUCACGAUGAAGUCAAAAAUGACGGUAGUUUCAUUUUUCAUUCCCCCUUCCAUCGGUUUAAAUUUAACAAAACUCGUGUUCGUGAGUUUUUAAAAAAAAAAUUGCUCAUGAGACCUAUGGAUAUGGAAUUGUGUUGUACGAGUGAUUUGAUGCUGAGACAAAAACGAAUGUUUCACAUCUCUCAUUCGUAGCUCACCAACAUCUAAGUACCUGUAUAAUUUUUUUUCCAAAUUUAAUCACGUGAAACAUCUAAGUGGGUGUUGGUUUCAUGCUGAUGCCAAACAUGAUGAACGUUGUGAUCGUUUUCAUGUUUCACCCCUCUCUCUUCCUAGGAUUUUCUUCAAAAUCAGCCUUUCGUAAUUUUUUUCGAAUGUUGCGAUAUGAUGGUAUGACCCAUCAAAGCGAGUUGAAAUUUUACGUCGUCGUCGAGGGAGAGCCUAACAUGCAACGUGGUUGCUUUUGGUAUCGAAUGCCGAUGAAAAAAAUAAUUCACGUGAACAGGGGAUUUUUUCAAAUGCAGCUGCGUGAAGAAAAAAGAAAAAGCAUGUUUCAAUAUGACUGACGCUAGGAAAGGAGACGAGACUAGAGACGCAAUAAUAAUAUACACUGUCUUGUCUUGUCGUAUAUGAGGAAUAUCGAGCUGGUUAGAUUGUGAAAAAUUAUUAUCUUAGAGAUAAGGCCAGGAUUCUUUUGUUAGAUUCAAUCGGUGGAGGGUGGAGGGCUGAGGGGUUUCUUGGAAUUAUGCAUCGAGCGAGCGAUGAGGUUUUGUUAUCUACGAUUGCUUUCUUUCGACUCGACUACGUGUACUAUACCGACCGACUGGUUGGCAUCAGUGUUUUCGUUCUGAUACGAGUUUACGAGUAGAUCUGAAUUUCACGUACCAACGUGAUGAAAGUGGCAAUCGGAAUUGGACAGUCUGAUGUUCUGAGUCUUGAAAUUUGACGAAAUGUUUCCUGUUCGGUAAUUUUUUAAACGUUUAUUCAAGUGCUUUGAAGUUAGGUCGUAAAAUUUUGAAUAUCGGAGUUCGUUGUUCGUGGUCUUUUUCGUGACGCGCGUGUUCGAUCGAAUUGAUUUUUCAUUUUUACGAUAUAUGUACUAAUAAAUGUUAACUUGUUACGCCUUUGUCGCGGGUUCGCUGAUAAGUAUGUGAAAAAAAAUUGAAUUUUAGUUCUUCGCGAGUUCUUUUCUUGUAAAUGUGUUAGGGUAUGUCGAAGCUGCCAUCGGGUUGAUCUGGACGUUCCUGGGACCAGCUGAAGUGAAGCUGAUGCUAUUCAUCGAUCGUGUCGAGUGCCACGCAAUCCAUCGACGAAGUGGGUUGAAAUUUCGCACUAAAGGUCGCAAAUAACGAAAGUUUUCGUAUCAACGUAUCGUUCUCUCGCUUGAUUUAGUUCGAAUUUCGCCGAAACUCGCCAAAUUUGAUUUUCGACGAGUUCGUUGUCGAUACGUGAAUUUUUGAAUAUCGGAGUUCGGAGUUCGUUGUUCGUGGUUUACGAGUACUCGUGAUGUAGAUAAGUUACGUGUUCGAUCGAAUUGAUUUUUCGUUUUGUAAUAAUUUUUGUAACGCCUUCGUCGGGAUCGUUAUUUGAAAAAAAAUGAAGUAUUGCCCGUUGUUCUUUCGCGAGUUCGGUUCAAGUGUUCGCUGACAGUUAACGAAAAAGCUGUAUGUCGAAGCUGCUGCAACUGGGACCUGUUGAUGCUGAUGCUGAUCAUCGAUCCUGUUUUAGUGGUGAGUUUUUGCAUAUGUACGUAAUUAUUCUCGAGUUAGCUUAUAUACAUGCAUGACUUUAAAUGAAGUAAUUUUGCAUGUUUUUUCCAAUUUUUGCUCUGAUCUGAAAUUUUUUCAACAACAAUUGAAAGAUUUUUUCCACCAUAAAUAAAAAAUUUGCUCUUCUUCUUCCAAGCGAUCGAAGAGAAUAAUUCCAGUGAUUAUUUUUUUUUACCUGGAUACUUGACCGUAUCCAAAAAGCUGUAAGAAAUUUUGCAAGUUGAUUCGAAGCAUUCUCGCUCGUUUUUUCUGUUACUUAUUCUUUCGCACUAAUCGUCAGUAUGUAACACUAUACGUGUUUAUUCGAGUCAUUUCAAAAUGAUAGAUAUCGUAGUGCAAAA